UACGAGGGGGGGCAAGCGUUGUUCGGAGUUCAUUGGGCGUAAAGGGGUGCGUAGGCGGCGCGGUAAGUCGGAUGUGAAAUCUCGGAGCUUAACUCCGAAACUGCAUUCGAUACUGCCGUGCUUGAGGACUGGAGAGGAGACUGGAAUUUACGGUGUAGCGGUGAAAUGCGUAGAUAUCGUAAGGAAGACCAGUGGCGAAGGCGGGUCUCUGGACAGUUCCUGACGCUGAGGCACGAAGGCCAGGGGAGCAAACGGG
rnacentral:rRNA from 1 species